AGAGUUUGAUUAUGGCUCAGGAUGAACGCUAGCGACAGGCUUAACACAUGCAAGUCGAGGGGCAGCAUAGAAGUAGCAAUACUCGGUGGCGACCGGCGCACGGGUGAGUAACGCGUAUGCAACCUACCUAUCAGAGGGGAAUAACCCGGCGAAAGUCGGACUAAUACCGCAUAAAACAGGGGCACCGCAUGGUGAUAUUUGUUAAAGAAAUUCGCUGAUAGAUGGGCAUGCGUUCCAUUAGGUAGUUGGUGAGGUAACGGCUCACCAAGCCGACGAUGGAUAGGGGAACUGAGAGGUUGGUCCCCCACACUGGUACUGAGACACGGACCAGACUCCUACGGGAGGCAGCAGUGAGGAAUAUUGGUCAAGUGGGCGGGAGCCUGAACCAGCCAAGUCGCGUGAAGGAAGAAGGAUCUAUGGUUCGUAAACUUCUUUGCAGGGGAAUAAAGUGCAGGACGUGUCCUGUUUUGUAUGUACCCUGAGAAUAAGGAUCGGCUAACUCCGUGCCAGCCGCGGC
rnacentral:rRNA from 1 species